GACGAACGCUGGCGGCGUGCUUAACACAUGCAAGUCGAACGGUGAAGGGACCGGUUUUUGCUGGUUCUGGAUGAGUGGCGAACGGGUGAGUAACACGUGAGUAACCUGCCCCCUUCUUCUGGAUAACCGCAUGAAAGUGUGGCUAAUACGGGAUAUUCUGCGCCUGCUGCAUGGUGGGUGUGGGAAAGAUAUUGUUUCGGUGGGGGAUGGGCUCGCGGCCUAUCAGCUUGUUGGUGGGGGGAUUGCCUACCAAGGCGGUGACGGGUAGCCGGCCUGGGAGGGUGGACGGUCACACUGGGGAUGAGACACGGCCCAGACUCCUACGGGAGGCAGCAGUGGGGAAUAUUGCACAAUGGGCGGAAGCCUGAUGCAGCGACGCCGCGUGAGGGAUGGAGGCCGUCGGGUUGUAAACCUCUUUCGCCAGUGAAGCAGGCCUGUCCCUUUUGUGGGUGGGUUGACGGUAGCUGGAUAAGAAGCGCCGGCUAACUACGUG
rnacentral:rRNA from 1 species